rnacentral:piRNA from 1 species
UAACAUGUUAGAGAAGAAAUACAGCAGCCU